rnacentral:rRNA from 1 species
CCGGCACGGGUGAGUAACACGUAUCCAACCUGCCGUCUACUCUUAGACAGCCUUCUGAAGGGAAGAUUAAUACAAGAUGGCAUCAUGAGUCCACAUGUUCACAUGAUUAAAGGUAUUCCGGUAGACGAUGGGGAUGCGUUCCAUUAGGCAGUUGGUGGGGUAACGGCCCACCAAACCUUCGAUGGAUAGGGGUUCUGAGAGGAAGGUCCCCCACAUUGGAACUGAGACACGGUCCAA